AAAUUUGCUGAAAACCACAAGUUGCUUAAAGCUAAAUUGUGGAAAAACUGUAAGAGAUAUCAAAAAACUGAGUACAACUGUAAUAGUCGACAAGUGAAUGAACAUUUUAAAGCAAAAAUGAGGUCUCUAGGUGAAAGUAUGCUGAAGUUAUAAGGUCUAGAAGGUGGAAGAAUAAAAGGAAGGAGUGGAAGAUUUCCCCAUUGACUUCAAUGUUAAAAUUUUUGCACAAAAAGUUAAAAAAAACAAAAAGUAUAAAAGGUAGAAAGGUAAAAAAUACAAGCACACAUGUCCUGAAGGAGUGGAAUAGUUAAAAGUUUGAACGGUUGAAAUCGGACAAAGUUUGAAGGAGGAGAAGCGGUCCAAAGAAACGUAUGGGGAGAGUGUUAAGUAUAAUACUAGAAAAAUUGCAUUUCCUUGCAGAAAAUGCGUGGAAAUGCUGAGUGCUGAAAGCUGAAAAAGCAAUGCUAAACUGCUAAUAAAACAUAGAGAAAUGUAUAAAUGUUAAAGCUGUUGAAGGGGUGUAAAAGAAAUGUAAGUUGGAUAAUUGAUUAAUUGGUUGAAGGACAAAUAGUAUGAAUAUGCUCUAUAAAAUGAAAUUUUAUUCAUGCUGAAAGAGGCUAGAAAAAUGUCUAAAAUUGCACAAAGUUUGAAUGAAGAAGGAAAUUGCCUUAAAAGGCAGGAAGGUGAGAAGUGGCAUAAGUUUAAUUUUUUAUGUAUUAGAAAGGUUUGAAUCAGUUUGAAUCAGUUCAAAUUAGUUUGAAAAAUUAAAUGAUAAAUCAUCACUGAGUGACUUUAAAAUGUGAAAAAUUUAAAUGAAUAUAAAUCCUGAAUACACCCCAUAAUGUCCUCAUUGAGCUUAAAUUUUAAAGCCCUGAAUGGUUUCUGUAGGUCAAAGGUCAUGUGAGGAGAUAGGGGCUGAAGUUUUUUCAAGCGCUCUAGGAAAGGGUUUUAAGUGUCAUCCCCAGUGCUAUGUGUACUGAGCCUGGCUUCAUGUGUCUCAUAUGGCCAUUAGAAGCAGCUUUCCAGUCAGCUGUGUGUCUCCAGGUGCACAAGUUGGUUGCCAUGGGGACCUUGGAUGCAUAACUAUAGCAGGAGAAAGAAGGCUUGAAGCUAAGGAAACAGGACUCCAAGUAGGCCCUGACGCUCAUCCUCUGUAUCUAUUCCUGAUAAGGAGCUUGUGAGAACACAAGACUCUGCUGAACACAUUAAUACAAUUUAUUAUCACAAUCCUCAAAACACCCCAUAAUAUCUUCAAUGAGCUGAAUUUUUGAAGCCCAGAAUGGUUUCUGUAGCUCAAAGUUUGUGGGUGGAGAUAGGUGGUGAAGCAGACACAUAUUAACUGUGUGUACAAGCAGCUGAACUGCAAGGUGGACCUCAAAAAGCAACAAGUACAAGAAUGUGUGUGUGUGUGUGUGUGUGUGUGUCUCGUUAAUGACUGCAUCCUAAACAGCUGUGAGAUCAAAGGCAAAUCACUAACCUACUGUUUGACUGAGAGGUGCUGAACUGCAGUGAAUUUCAGCCUGUGAACUUCUUCACAUAGCGUGAUUUCCUUAAGUCCCAGAAUGAAAAUAAGAACAUCGUACGAAUCCUCCGUCCUUCAUGAACACAAUGAUGUCUUUUUCAUGUCUGUACUUCGAAAAAUGUGGCCACAACAGCGAGUUAAAAAAGUCUGAGCCUGAGUGGGGAUAAGGAUUUUCUUGGAGAAGAAAUACAUUAGGUCUAAUGGGGAGAGAUUUCCGCCUAUUUGGACAGUUGGUCACCUGCUGGCCAAGGGGUAGGAUUUAAUGAUUUGAAACCUCUUUUGUGAGAAGCAGGACACAUAUACCUCCAUUUUUAUGUAUUUUUUAUGGCUGUGGAGUGAGAUUUGUGGGCGUGGGAGCGAUAUAUUUGAGCGAGGUUCUGUCGAUCAGAGACGAGGUCUGCACUCUAGCUUUUCAAAUCAUCACUCUAGCCUCUCCAAUACACCCCUAUUAUAAAGCCUGAAAUUUGCUGAAAACCACAAGUUGCAUAAAGCUAAAUUGUGGAAAAACUGUAAAAGAUAGCACAAAGAGGUUAAUACAACAUCAAUAGUCGACAAGACAAUGAACAUUUUAAAGCAAAAAUGAGGUCUCUAGGUGAAAGUAUGCUGAAGUUAUAAGGUCUAGAAGGUGGACGAAUAACAGGAAGAAUUGAAAGAUUUCCCCAUUCAUUUCUAUGGGAAAAAAAGUUUGGCACAAAAAGUGAAAAAUAAUAAAAAGUAUAAAGGGUAGAAAAAAGAAAAGUAAUAGCCAUCAUGUCCUGAAGGAGUGGAAUCGUUUAAAGUUUGAACGGUUGAAAUCGGACAAAGUUUGAAGGAGGAGAAGCGGUCCAAAGAAACGUAUGGGGAGAGUGUUAAGUAUAAUACUAGAAAAAUUGCAUUUCCUUGCAGAAAAUGCGUGGAAAUGCUGAGUGCUGAAAGCUAACAAAGCAAUGCUAAACUGCUAAUAAAACAUGGAGAAAGGUAUAAAUGUUAAAGCUGUUGAAGGGGUGAACAGAAAUAUAAGUUGGAUAAUUGAUUAAUUGGUUGAAGGACAAAUACUAUGAAUAUGCUCUAUAAAAGGAAAUUUUAUUCAUGCUGAAAGAGGCUAGAAAAAUGUCUCAAAUUGCACAAAGUUUGAAUGAAGAAGGAAAUUGCCUUAAAAGGCAGGAAGGUGAGAAGUGGCAUAAGUUUAAAUUGUAGUACUAGAAGUAGCAUGAUAAGAAGUCAAGUCGUGAUACUAGUAGUCAUGUCAGCAGUAGAAGUAGAUUGAGAAUAAAAGAAGUAUAAGUCAAAGUAGUAAAGAAAGUAGAAAUAGGAGCAAUAGCAGUUGAAGUAGAGGGGAAAGUUCUAGUUUAAUUGACAUUAGGAGUAGUUGUCGUACUUGAGGUAGGAUUUUGUUUGAAUGAUGGAGUAAUGCAUAAAUAUUAAAACUAAUUUAAAACAGGGAAAUUUUAAAUUAUCAAAAGUCCUCAAGUAUCAGAAAGUUUUGAAGUAUUAGAAAGGUUUGAAUCAGUUUGAAUGAGUUUAAAUUAGUUUGAAAAAUUAAAUGAUAAAUCAUCACUGACUGACUUUUAAAAUGUGAAAAAUUUAAAUGAAUAACAAUCCUAAAUACACCCAAUAAUGUCCUCAAUGAGCUUAAAUUUCAAAGCCCUGAAUGGUUUCUGUAGGUCAAAGGUCAUGUGAGGAGAUAGGGGCUGAAGUUUUUUCCAACGCUCUAGGAAAGGGUUUUAAGUGUCAUCCCAAUUGCUAUGUGUACUGAGCCUGGCUUCAUGUGUCUCAUAUGGCCACUAGAAGCAGCUUUCCAGUCAGCUGUGUGUCUCCAGGUGCACAAAUUGGUUGCCAUGGGGACCUUGGAUGCAUAACUAUAGCAGGAGAAAGAAGGCUUGAAGCUAAGGAAACAGGACUCCAAGUAGGCCCUGACGCUCACCCUCUGUAUAUAUUCAUAAGGAGCUUGUGAGAACACAAGACUCUGCUGAACACAUUAAUACAAUUUAUUAUCACAAUCCUCAAAACACCCCAUAUUAUCUUCAAUGAGCUGAAUUUUUGAAGCCCAGAAUGGUUUCUGUAGCUCAAAGUUUGUGGGUGGAGAUAGGUGGUGAAGCAGACACAUAUUAACUGUGUGUACAAGCAGCUGAACUGCAAGGUGGACCUCAAAAAGCAACAAGUACAAGAAGGUGUGUGUGCGUGUGUGUGUGUGUGUGUCUCGUUAAUGACUGCAUCCUAAACAGCUGUGAGAUCAAAGGCAAAUCACUAACCUACUGUUUGACUGAGAGGUGCUGAACUGCAGUGAAUUUCAGCCUGUGAACUUCUUCACAUAGCGUGAUUUCCUUAAGUCCCAGAAUGAAUAUAAGAACAUCGUACGAAUCCUCCGCCCUUCAUGAACACAAUGAUGUGUUUUUCAUGUCUGUACUCCGAAAAAUGAGGCCACAACAGCGAGUUAAAAAAGUCUGAGCCUCAGUGGCGAUAAGGAUUUUCUUGGAGAAGAAAUACAUUAGGUCUAAUGGGGAGAGUUUUUCGCUAUUUGGACAGUUGGUCACCUGCUGGCCAAGGGGUAAGAUUUAAUGAUUUGAAACCUCUUUUGUGAGAAGCAGGACACAUAUACCUCCAUUUUGAUGUAUUUUUUAUGGGUGUGGAGUGAGAUUUGUGGGCAUGGGAGCGAAAUAUUCGAGCGAGGUUCUGUUGAUCAGAGAGGAGGUCUGCACUCUAGCUUUUCAAAUCAUCACUCUAGCCUCUCCAAUACACCCCUAUUAUAAAGCCUGAAAUUUGCUGAAAACCACAAGUUGCAUAAAGCUAAAUUGUGGAAAAACUCUAAAAGAUAUCACAAAAAGGUUAAUACAAUAUCAAUAGUCGACAAGACAAUGAACAUUUUAAAGCAAAAAUGAGGUCUGUAGGUGAAAGUAUGCUGAAGUUAUAAGGCUUAGAAGGUGGACGAAUAACAGGAAGAAUUGAAAGAUUUCCCCAUUCAUUUCUAUGGGAAAAAAAGUUUGGCACAAAAAGUGAAAAAUAAUAAAAAGUAUAAAGGGUAGAAAAGAGAAAAGUAAUAGCCAUCAUGUCCUGAUGGAGCGGAAUAGUUUAAAGUUUGAACGGUUGAAAUCGGACAAAGUUUGAAGGAGGAGAAGCGGUCCAAAGAAACAUAUGGGGAGAGUGUUAAGUAUAAUACUAGAAAAAUUGCAUUUCCUUGCAGAAAAUGCGUGGAAAUGCUGAGUGCUGAAAGCUGAAAAAGCAAUGCUAAACUGCUAAUAAAACAUGGAGAAAGGUAUAAAUGUUAAAGCUGUUGAAGGGAUGAGAAAGAAAUGUAAGUUGGAUAAUUGAUUAAUUGGUUGAAGGACAAAUAGUAUGAAUAUGCUCUAUAAAAAGAAAUUUUAUUCAUGCUGAAAGAGGCUAGAAAAAUGUCUAAAAUUGCACAAAGUUUGAAUGAAGAAGGAAAUUGCCUUAAAAGGCAGGAAGGUGGGAAGUGGCAUCAGUUUAAUUUUUUAAGUAUUAGAAAGGUUUGAAUCAGUUUGAAUCAGUUCAAAUUAGUUUGAAAAAUUAAAUGAUAAAUCAUCACUGAGUAACUUUUAAAUGUGAAAAAUCUAAAUGAAUAUAAAUCCUAAAUACACCCCAUAAUGUCCUCAAUGAGCUUAAAUUUUAAAGCCCUGAAUGGUUUCUGUAGGUCAAAGGUCAUGUGAGGAGAUAGGGGCUGAAGUUUUUUCAAGCGCUCUAGGAAAGGGUUUUAAGUGUCAUCCCCAGUGCUAUGUGUACUAAGCCUGGCUUCAUGUGUCUCAUAUGGCCAUUAGAAGCAGCUUUCCAGUCAGCUGUGUGUCUCCAGGUGCACAAAUUAGUUGCCAUGGGGACCUUGGAUGCAUAACUAUAGCAGGAGAAAGAAGGCUUGAAGCUAAGGAAACAGGGCUCCAAGUAGGCCCUGGCACUCAUCGUCUGUAUAUAUUCAUGAUAAGGAGCUUGUGAGAACACAAGACUCUGCUGAACACAUUAAUACAAUUUAUUAUCACAAUCCUCAAAACACCCCAUAAUAUCUUCAAUGAGCUGAAUUUUUGAAGCCCAGAAUGGUUUCUGUAGCUCAAAGUUUGUGGGUGGAGAUAGGUGGCGAAGCAGACACAUAUUAACUGUGUGUACAAGCAGCUGAACUGCAAGGUAGACCUCAUAAAGCAACAAGUACAAGAAUGUGUGUGUGUGUGUGUGUGUCUCGUUAAUGACUGCAUCCUAAACAGCUGUGAGAUCAAAGGCAAAUCACUGACCUACUGUUUGAAUGAGAAGCAGCUGAACUGCAGAGGAUUUAGAGGCUCUAAACUUCUUCACAUAGCGUGAUUUCCUUAAGUCACAGAAUGAAAAUAAGAACAUCGUACGAAUCCUCCGCCCUUCAUGAACACAAUGAUGUCUUUUUCAUGUCUGUACUUCGAAAAAAGAGGCCACAACAGCGAGUUAAAAAAGUCUGAGCCUGAGCGAUGAUCCGGAUUUUCUUGGAGAAAAAUAACAUUAUGGUCAAUGGGAGAGAUUUCCGCCUUCCUUGGACAGUUGGUCACCUGCUGGCCAAGGGGUACGAUUUAAUGAUUUGAAACCUCUUUUGUGAGAAGCAGGACACAUAUACCUCCAUUUUGAUGUAUUAUUUAUGGCUGUGGAGUGAGAUUUGUGGGCGUGGGAGCGAUAUAUUCGAGCGAGGUUCUGUCGAUCAGAGACGGGGUCUGCACUCUAGCUGAUGACAUCAUCACUCUAAGCUCUCCAAUACACACCCAUUAUAAAGCUUGAAAUUUGCUGAAAACCACAAGUUGCUUAAAGCUAAAUUGUGGAAAAACUGUAGGAGAUAGCACAAAAAAGUCAAUACAGCAUAUUUGGAGGAGAAGAUUGUGAACAUUUUAAAGCCAAAAUUAGGUCUGUAGGUGAAAGUACGCUGAAGUUAUAAGGCUGAGAAGGUGGAGGAGUAAAAGGUAGAAUUUGAAGAUUUCCCCAUUCAUUUCAAUGGGAAAAUUUUUUGCACAAAAAGUCAAAAAUAUCAAAAAGUAUAAGGGGUAGAAAAGAAAAAAGUAAUAGCCAUAAUGUCCUGAAGGAGUGGAAUAGUUUAAAGUUUGAACGGUUGAAAUCGGACAAAGUUUGAAGGAGGAGAAGCGUUGCAAAAAAGGGACGGAAGAAUAAUAAUAAUAAGUUUAAUAAAGAAACAGGAGAAUAACAAUAAGUGGAAAUGCCUAUCAGCAUUUCCACUUAACUAGAAAAAUUGCAUUUCCUUGCAGAAAAUGCGUGGAAAUGCUGAGUGCUGAAAGCUGAAAAAGCAAUGCAAAACUGCUAAUAAAACAUGGAGAAAGGUAUAAAUGUUAAAGCUGUUGAAGGGGUGAACAGAAAUAUAAGUUGGAUAAUUGAUUAAUUGGUUGAAGGACAAAUAGUAUGAAUAUGCUCUAUAAAAGGAAAUUUUAUUCAUGCUGAAAGAGGCUAGAAAAAUGUCGAAAAUUGCACAAAGUUUGAAUGAAGAAGGAAAUUGCCUUAAAAGGUAGGAAGGUGAGAAGUGGCAUAAGUUUAAAUUGUAGUACUAGAAGUAGUAUUAUAAGAAGUCAAGUCGUGAUACUAGUAGUCAUGUCAGCAGUAGAAGUAGAUUGAGAAUAAAAGAAGUAUAAGUCAAAGUAGUAAAGAAAGUAGAAAUAGGAGCAAUAGCAGUUGAAGUAGAGGGGAAAGUACUAGUUUAAUUGACAUUAGCAGUAGUUGUCGUACUUGAGGUAGGAUUUUGUUUGAAUGAUGGAGUAAUGCAUAAAUAUUAAAACUAAUUUAAAACAGGGAAAUUUUAAAUUAUCAAAAGUCCUCAAGUAUCAGAAAGUUUUGAAGUAUUAGAAAGGUUUGAAUCAGUUUGAAUGAGUUUAAAUUAGUUUGAAAAAUGAAAUGAUAAAUCAUCACUGACUGACUUUUAAAAUGUGAAAAAUUUAAAUGAAUAACAAUCCUAAAUACACCCAAUAAUGUCCUCAAUGAGCUUAAAUUUCAAAGCCCUGAAUGGUUUCUGUAGGUCAAAGGUCAUGUGAGGAGAUAGGGGCUGAAGUUUUUUCCAACGCUCUAGGAAAGCGUUUUAAGUGUCAUCUCAAUUGCUAUGUGUACUGAGCCUGGCUUCAUGUGUCUCAUAUGGCCACUAGAAGCAGCUUUCCAGUCAGCUGUGUGUCUCCAGGUGCACAAAUUGGUUGCCAUGGGGACCUUGGAUGCAUAACUAUAGCAGGAGAAAGAAGGCUUGAAGCUAAAGAAACAGGACUCCAAGUAGGCCCUGACGCUCACCCUCUGUAUAUAUUCAUAAGGAGCUUGUGAGAACACAAGACUCUGCUGAACACAUUAAUACAAUUUAUUAUCACAAUCCUCAGAACACCCCAUAAUAUCUUCAAUGAGCUGAAUUUUUGAAGCCCAGAAUGGUUUCUGUAGCUCAAAGUUUGUGGGUGGAGAUAGGUGGUGAAGCAGACACAUAUUAACUGUGUGUACAAGCAGCUGAACUGCAAGGUGGACCUCAAAAAGCAACAAGUACAAGAAUGUGUGUGCGUGUGUGUGUGUGUGUGUCGUUAAUGACUGCAUCCUAAACAGCUGUGAGAUCAAAGGCAAAUCACUAACCAACUGUUUGACUGAGAGGUGCUGAACUGCAGUGAAUUUCAGCCUGUGAACUUCUUCACAUAGCGUGAUUUCCUUAAGUCCCAGAAUGAAAAUAAGAACAUCGUACGAAUCCUCCGUCCUUCAUGAACACAAUGAUGUGUUUUUCAUGUCUGUACUUCGAAAAAUGAGGCCACAACAGCGAGUUAAAAAAGUCUGAGCCUGAGCGAUGAUCCGGAUUUUCCUGGAGAAAAAUAACAUUAUGGUCAAUGGGAGAGAUUUCCGCCUUUUUUGGACAGUUGGUCACCUGCUGGCCAAGGGGUACGAUUUAAUGAUUUGAAACCUCUUUUGUGAGAAGCAGGACACAUAUACCUCCAUUUUGAUGUAUUAUUUGUGUCAGUGGAGUGAGAUUUGUGGGCGUGGGAGCGAUAUAUUCGAGCGAGGUUCUGUCGAUCAGAGACGAGGUCUGCACUCUAGCUGAUGACAUCAUCACUCUAAACUCUCCAAUACACACCCAUUAUAAAGCUUGAAAUUUGCUGAAAACCACAAGUUGCUUAAAGCUAAAUUGUGGAAAAACUGUAAAAGAUAUCAAAAAACUGAGUACAACUUUAAUAGUCGACAAGUGAAUGAACAUUUUAAAGCAAAAAUUAGGUCUCUAGGUGAAAGUAUGCUGAAGUUAUAAGGUCUAGAAGGUGGAAGAGGAAAAGGUAGAUUUUAAGAUUUCCCCAUUCAUUUUUAAUGGUACAAAUUUUGCACAAAAAGUUAAAAAAAACAAAAAGUAUAAAGGGUAGAAAGGAAAAAAAUAGACGCCAUAAUGUCCUGAAUGAGUGGAAUAGUUUAAAGUUUGAACGGUUGAAAUCGGACAAAGUUUGAAGGAGGAGAAGCGGUCCAAAAAUCGGCGGAAGAAUAAUAAUAAGUUUAAUAAAGAAACAGGAGAAUAACAAUAAGUGGAAAUGCUUAAUCAGCAUUUCCACUUAACUAGAAAAAUUGCAUUUCCUUGCAGAAAAUGCGUGGAAAUGCUGAGUGCUGAAAGCUAACAAAGCAAUGCUAAACUGCUAAUAAAACAUGGAGAAAGGUAUAAAUGUUAAAGCUGUUGAAGGAGUGAGAAAGAAAUAUAGGUUGGAUAACUGUUAAAUUGGAUGAAGGACAAAUAGUAUGAAUAUGCUCUAUAAAAGGAAAUUUUAUUCAUGCUGAAAGAGGCUAGAAAAAUGUCUAAAAUUGCACAAAGUUUGAAUGAAGAAGGAAACUGCCUUAAAAGGCAGGAAGUUGAGAAGUGGCAUAAGUUUAAGUUGUAGUACUAGAAGUAGUAUAGGAGGUCAAGUCGUGAUACUAGUAGUCAUGUCAGCAGUAGAAGUAGUUUGAGAAUAAAAGAAGUAUAAGUCACAAUAGUAGAGAAAGUAGAAAUAGGAGCAAUAGCAGUUGAAGUAGAGGGGAUAGUACUAGUUUAAUUGACAUUAGCGGUAGUUGUCGUACUUGAGGUAGGAUUUUGUUUGAAGGAUAGAGUAAUGCAUAAAUAUUAAAACUUAUUUCAAACAGGGAAAAUUUAAAUAAUUAAAAAUCCUCAAGAAUCAGAAAGUUUUCAAGUAUUAGAAAGGUUUGAAUCAGUUUGAAUGAGUUUAAAUUAGUUUGAAAAAAUAAAUGAUAAAUCAUCACUUAGUGACUUUAAAAUGUAAAAAAUUUAAAUGAAUAUAAAUCCUAAAUACACCCCAUAAUGUCCUCAAUGAGCUUAAAUUUUAAAGCCCUGAAUGGUUUCUGUAGGUCAAAGGUCAUGUGAGGAGAUAGGGGCUGAAGUUUUUUCAAGCGCUCUAGGAAAGGGUUUUAAGUGUCAUCCCCAGUGCUAUGUGUACUGAGCCUGGCUUCAUGUGUCUCAUAUGGCCAUUAGAAGCAGCUUUCCAGUCAGCUGCGUGUCUCCAGGUGCACAAGUUGGUUGCCAUGGGGACCUUGGAUGCAUAACUAUAGCAGGAGAAAGAAGGCUUAAAGCUAAGGAAACAGGACUCCAAGUAGGCCCUGACGCUCAUCGUCUGUAUAUAUUCAUGAUAAGGAGCUUGUGAGAACACAAGAUUUUGCUGAACACAUUAAUACAAUUUAUUAUCACAAUCCUCAAAACACCCCAUAAUAUCUUCAAUGAGCUGAAUUUUUCAAGCCCAGAAUGGUUUCUGUAGCUCAAAGUUUGUGGGUGGAGAUAGGUGGUGAAGCAGACACAUAUUACCUGUGUGUACAAGCAGCUGAACUGCAAGGUAGACCUGACAAUGCAACAAGUACAAGAAUGUGUGUGUGUGUGUGUGUGUGUGUGUGUGUGUGUGUGUGUCUCGUUAAUGAUUGCAUCCUAAACAGCUGUGAGAUCAAAGGCAAAUCACUGACCUACUGUUUGAAUGAGAAGCAGCUGAACAGCAGAGGUUUUGAAGCCUGUGAACUUCUUCACAUAGCGUGAUUUCCUUAAGUCCCAGAAUGAAAAUAAGAACAUCGUACGAAUCCUCCGGCCUUCAUGAACACAAUGAUGUCUUUUUCAUGUCUGUACUCCGAAAAAUGUGGCCACAACAGCGAGUUAAAAAAGUCUGAGCCUGAGUGGGGAUAAGGAUUUUCUUGGAGAAGAAAUACAUUAGGUCUAAUGGGGAGAGAUUUCCGCCUUCCUUGGACAGUUGGUCACCUGCUGGCCAAGGGGUACGAUUUAAUGAUUUGAAACCUCUUUUGUGAGAAGCAGGACACAUAUACCUCCAUUUUGAUGUAUUAUUUGUGUCAGUGGGGUGAGAUUUGUGGGCGUGGGAGCGAUAUAUUCGAGCGAGGUUCUGUCGAUCAGAGACGAGGUCUGCACUCUAGCUGAUGACAUCAUCACUCUAAACUCUCCAAUACACACCCAUUAUAAAGCUUGAAAUUUGCUGAAAACCACAAGUUGCUUAAAGCUAAAUUGUGGAAAAACUGUAAGAGAUAUCAAAAAUCUGAGUACAACUGUAAUAGUCGACAAGUGAAUGAACAUUUUAAAGCAAAAAUGAGGUCUCUAGGUGAAAGUAUGCUGAAGUUAUAAGGUCUAGAAGGUGGAAGAAUAAAAGGAAGGAGUGGAAGAUUUCCCCAUUGACUUCAAUGUUAAAAUUUUUGCACAAAAAGUUAAAAAAAACAAAAAGUAUAAAAGGUAGAAAGGUAAAAAAUACAAGCACACAUGUCCUGAAGGAGUGGAAUAGUUUAAAGUUUGAACGGUUGAAAUCGCACAAAGUUUGAAGGAGUUGAAAAGCGACAAAAAACGGCGGAAGAAUACUAAUAAUAAUAAUAAAGAAACAGGAGAAUAACAAUAAGUGGAAAUGCCUAUCAGCAUUUCCACUUAACUAGAAAAAUUGCAUUUCCUUGCAGAAAAUGCGUGGAAAUGCUGAGUGCUGAAAGCUGAAAAAGCAAUGCUAAACUGCUAAUAAAACAUGGAGAAAGGUAUAAAUGUUAAAGCUGUUGAAGGGGUGAACAGAAAUAUAAGUUGGAUAAUUGAUUAAUUGGUUGAAGGACAAAUAGUAUGAAUAUGCUCUAUAAAAGGAAAUUUUAUUCAUGCUGAAAGAGGCUAGAAAAAUGUCGAAAAUUGCACAAAGUUUGAAUGAAAAAGGAAAUUGCCUUAAAAGGCAGGAAGGUGAGAAGUGGCAUAAGUUUAAAUUGUAGUACUAGAAGUAGUAUUAUAAGAAGUCAAGUCGUGAUACUAGUAGUCAUGUCAGCAGUAGAAGUAGAUUGAGAAUAAAAGAAGUAUAAGUCAAAGUAGUAAAGAAAGUAGAAAUAGGAGCAAUAGCAGUUGAAGUAGAGGGGAAAGUUCUAGUUUAAUUGACAUUAGCAGUAGUUGUCGUACUUGAGGUAGGAUUUUGUUUGAAUGAUGGAGUAAUGCAUAAAUAUUAAAACUAAUUUAAAACAGGGAAAUUUUAAAUUAUCAAAAGUCCUCAAGUAUCAGAAAGUUUUGAAGUAUUAGAAAGGUUUGAAUCAGUUUGAAUGAGUUUUAAGUGUCAUCCCAAUUGCUAUGUGUACUGAGCCUGGCUUCAUGUGUCUCAUAUGGCCACUAGAAGCAGCUUUCCAGUCAGCUGUGUGUCUCCAGGUGCACAAAUUGGUUGCCAUGGGGACCUUGGAUGCAUAACUAUAGCAGGAGAAGAAGGCUUGAAGCUAAAGAAACAGGACUCCAAGUAGGCCCUGACGCUCACCCUCUGUAUAUAUUCAUAAGGAGCUUGUGAGAACACAAGACUCUGCUGAACACAUUAAUACAAUUUAUUAUCACAAUCCUCAAAACACCCCAUAAUAUCUUCAAUGAGCUGAAUUUUUCAAGCCCAGAAUGGUUUCUGUAGCUCAAAGUUUGUGGGUGGAGAUAGGUGGUGAAGCAGACACAUAUUAACUGUGUGUACAAGCAGCUGAACUGCAAGGUGGACCUCAAAAAGCAACAAGUACAAGAAUGUGUGUGCGUGUGUGUGUGUGUGUCUCGUUAAUGACUGCAUCCUAAACAGCUGUGAGAUCAAAGGCAAAUCACUAACCUACUGUUUGACUGAGAGGUGCUGAACUGCAGUGAAUUUCAGCCUGUGAACUUCUUCACAUAGCGUGAUUUCCUUAAGUCCCAGAAUGAAUAUAAGAACAUCGUACGAAUCCUCCGCCCUUCAUGAACACAAUGAUGUGUUUUUCAUGUCUGUACUCCGAAAAAUGAGGCCACAACAGCGAGUUAAAAAAGUCUGAGCCUCAGUGGCGAUAAGGAUUUUCUUGGAGAAGAAAUACAUUAGGUCUAAUGGGGAGAGUUUUUCGCUAUUUGGACAGUUGGUCACCUGCUGGCCAAGGGGUAAGAUUUAAUGAUUUGAAACCUCUUUUGUGAGAAGCAGGACACAUAUACCUCCAUUUUGAUGUAUUUUUUAUGGGUGUGGAGUGAGAUUUGUGGGCAUGGGAGCGAAAUAUUCGAGCGAGGUUCUGUUGAUCAGAGAGGAGGUCUGCACUCUAGCUUUUCAAAUCAUCACUCUAGCCUCUCCAAUACACCCCUAUUAUAAAGCCUGAAAUUUGCUGAAAACCACAAGUUGCAUAAAGCUAAAUUGUGGAAAAACUCUAAAAGAUAUCACAAAAAGGUUAAUACAAUAUCAAUAGUCGACAAGACAAUGAACAUUUUAAAGCAAAAAUGAGGUCUGUAGGUGAAAGUAUGCUGAAGUUAUAAGGCUUAGAAGGUGGACGAAUAACAGGAAGAAUUGAAAGAUUUCCCCAUUCAUUUCUAUGGGAAAAAAAGUUUGGCACAAAAAGUGAAAAAUAAUAAAAAGUAUAAAGGGUAGAAAAGAGAAAAGUAAUAGCCAUCAUGUCCUGAUGGAGCGGAAUAGUUUAAAGUUUGAACGGUUGAAAUCGGACAAAGUUUGAAGGAGGAGAAGCGGUCCAAAGAAACAUAUGGGGAGAGUGUUAAGUAUAAUACUAGAAAAAUUGCAUUUCCUUGCAGAAAAUGCGUGGAAAUGCUGAGUGCUGAAAGCUGAAAAAGCAAUGCUAAACUGCUAAUAAAACAUGGAGAAAGGUAUAAAUGUUAAAGCUGUUGAAGGGAUGAGAAAGAAAUGUAAGUUGGAUAAUUGAUUAAUUGGUUGAAGGACAAAUAGUAUGAAUAUGCUCUAUAAAAGAAAAUUUAAUUCAUGCUGAAAGAGGCUAGAAAAAUGUCUAAAAUUGCACAAAGUUUGAAUGAAGAAGGAAACUGCCUUAAAAGGCAGGAAGGUGAGAAGUGGCAUAAGUUUAAGUUUUUAAGUAUUAGAAAGGUUUGAAUCAGUUUGAAUCAGUUCAAAUUAGUUUGAAAAAUUAAAUGAGAAAUCAUCACUGAGUGACUUUAAAAUGUGAAAAAUCUAAAUGAAUAUAAAUCCUAAAUACACCCCAUAAUGUCCUCAAUGAGCUUAAAUUUUAAAGCCCUGAAUGGUUUCUGUAGGUCAAAGGUCAUGUGAGGAGAUAGGGGCUGAAGUUUUUUCAAGCGCUGUAGGAAAGGGUUUUAAGUGUCAUCCCCAGUGCUAUGUGUACUGAGCCUGGCUUCAUGUGUCUCAUAUGGCCAUUAGAAGCAGCUUUCCAGUCAGCUGUGUGUCUCCAGGUGCACAAAUUGGUUGCCAUGGGGACCUUGGAUGAAUAACUUUAGCAGGAGAAAGAAGGCUUGAAGCUAAGGAAACAGGAAUCCAAGUAGGCCCUGACGCUCAUCCUCUGUAUAUAUUCAUGAUAAGGGGCUUGUGAGAACACAAGAUUUUGCUGAACACAUUAAUACAAUUUAUUAUCACAAUCCUCAAAACACCCCAUAAUAUCUUCAAUGAGCUGAAUUUUUCAAGCCCAGAAUGGUUUCUGUAGCUCAAAGUUUGUGGGUGGAGAUAGGUGGUGAAGCAGACACAUAUUAACUGUGUGUACAAGCAGCUGAACUGCAAGGUGGACCUCAAAAAGCAACAAGUACAAGAAUGUGUGUGCGUGUGUGUGUGUGUGUCUCGUUAAUGACUGCAUCCUAAACAGCUGUGAGAUCAAAGGCAAAUCACUAACCUACUGUUUGACUGAGAGGUGCUGAACUGCAGUAAAUUUCAGCCUGUGAACUUCUUCACAUAGCGUGAUUUCCUUAAGUCCCAGAAUGAAAAUAAGAACAUCGUACGAAUCCUCCGUCCUUCAUGAACACAAUGAUGUGUUUUUCAUGUCUGUACUUCGAAAAAUGAGGCCACAACAGCGAGUUAAAAAAGUCUGAGCCUGAGCGAUGAUCCGGAUUUUCUUGGAGAAAAAUAACAUUAUGGUCAAUGGGAGAGAUUUCUGCCUUCCUUGGACAGUUGGUCACCUGCUGGCCAAGGGGUACGAUUUAAGGAUUUGAAACCUCUUUUGUGAGAAGCAGGACAUAUAUACCUCCAUUUUGAUGUAUUAUUUAUGGCUGUGGAGUGAGAUUUGUGGGCGUGGGAGCGAUAUAUUCGAGCGAGGUUCUGUCGAUCAGAGACGAGGUCUGCACUCUAGCUGAUGACAUCAUCACUCUAAACUCUCCAAUACACACCCAUUAUAAAGCUUGAAAUUUGCUGAAAACCACAAGUUGCUUAAAGCUAAAUUGUGGAAGAACUGUAAAAGAUAUCAAAAAACUGAGUACAACUCUAAUAGUCGACAAGUGAAUGAACAUUUUAAAGCAAAAAUGAGGUCUCUAGGUGAAAGUAUGCUGAAGUUAUAAGACUUUGAAGGUGGAAGAAAAAAAGGAAGAAGUGGAAGAUUUCCCCAUUGACUUCAAUGUUAAAAUUUUUGCACAAAAAGUUAAAAAUAUCAAAAAGUAUAAAGGGUAGAAGAGUGAAAAGUAAUAGCCAUCAUGUCCUGAAGGAGUGGAAUAGUUUAAAGUUUGAACGGUUGAAAUCGGACAAAGUUUGAAGGAGGAGAAGCGCGGCAAAAAACGGCGGAAGAAUAAUAAGAAGAAUAAAGAAACAGGAGAAUAACAAUAAGUGGAAAUGCUUAAUCAGCAUUUCCACUUAA